UGCCGCCAUAUCACGUUGAAACAUCGGUUCCCGUACUAUUACCGAAGUUAAGCAACGUCGUGGCUGGUCAGCACCUAGAUGGAUGACUGCUUGGGAAUACCAGGUGCUGUAAG